rnacentral:tRNA from 1 species
CGCUUGGGAUAGUCGAGGAUCUCCGGCGGCUCGUAAUCGCCGUAGGUGUCGCUCUCGUACCACCGCCAGAUCCGGGCGA